UAAAAGAACUUGGAAAGAAAGGAGUUGGAGAAAUAAAACUAGAAGAAUUUGCACAAACUCAUCAUCUACUUACUGAAAGGAUAAAAGCUUAAUAACAAUGUUCCUUUCACAUCUUUUAAGCAUGUCAACAAACAUCAAACUU